rnacentral:rRNA from 1 species
UGGAUCCUACGGGGGGCAGCAGUGAGGAAUAUUGGUCAAUGGUCGGGAGACUGAACCAGCCAAGCCGCGUGAGGGAUGGAGGUACAGAGUAUCGUAAACCUCUUUUGUCAGGGAACAAAGGCGGGGACGUGUCCCCGGAUGAGUGUACCUGAAGAAAAAGCAUCGGCUAACUCCGUGCCAGCAGCCGCGGUAAUACGGAGGAUGCGAGCGUUAUCCGGAUUUAUUGGGUUUAAAGGGUGCGCAGGCGGUCUGUUAAGUCAGCGGUCAAAGCCCUGGGCUCAACCCACGCCCGCCGUUGAACCUGG